GCAAUGAAAGUGAAGAGGAGCCUAGGCCCCUCGAGGCAGGAUCUGUCGUCUGUAGUGGACGGGCAGCGCACUGCCGGCCCGUCUCGGCCGCUUAUGACGGCGAGGCGGAGCAAGAGCGCACGCUCUGGGACCCGAAAGAUGGUGAACUAUGCCUGAGCAGGAUGAAGUCAGGGGAAACUCUGAUGGAGGUCCGCAGCGAUUCUGACGUGCAAAUCGAUCGUCAAACUUGGGUAUAGGGGCGAAAGACUAAUCGAACCAUCUAGUAGCUGGUUCCUUCCGAAGUUUCCCUCAGGAUAGCUGGCACUAAUCUCGCUGCAGUUUUAUCCGGUACAGCGAAUGAUUAGAGGGAUUGGGGAUUUGUCGUCCUCAACCUAUUCUCAAACUUUAAAUGGGUAAGAAGCACGACUCGCCUGAACGGAGUCGCUGCCUACUAUAUAUUGAAUGCAUGAGUGCCAAGUGGGCCAUUUUUGGUAAGCAGAACUGGCGCUGUGGGAUGAACCAAACGUCCGGUUAAGGCGCCCGAGGCGGACGCUCAUCAGACCCCAUAAAAGGUGUUGGUUGGUAUAGACAGCAGGACGAUGGCCAUGGAAGUCGGCAUUCGCUAAGGAGUGUGUAACAACUCACCUGCCGAAUCAACCGGCCCUGA
rnacentral:rRNA from 1 species